AUGGUGUAACCUCUUGCACUAAAUUUAUACAAGGGAAACUAAUUCUUCUUUGGCGGUAGUUUCUUCUGCUGCUGCUACUCUCGUAUCCCGCUCUCCUCUUCUCUUAAACUGUUUCUGGGUUUUGUCUUCCUCGAACAAUCUCUACUGCUUCAAAAAUCGGUGCUCCUUCACCAAGAAAUAAAAUUUUAGGUGAGAGGAAUGUAGAAGCUAGGGUUUCUGAUGAUAGGAAGUUGUUAUAUGAAUACGUUUAGCCCCAAAGUUUCAUCUUCUAUUAGAAAUCUUUCAUUUACUGAAAUUUCUGCAUCAGAUUUGGGAUUUUCUUUGCGAUUGGUUGAGAUUGAGCUUAAGGCGUUUGAAUUAAUUUUGAGACAAUUGAGUACGUUUGAGUUCUGAAAUUGAAUUGCUUGAAAGGUGAGUUUCUGUUCCAAUUAAAUCUGGUUAUAAUAGCUGAGAAGUGUCGGUAGAGUUUAAAUUGCAUUUGGUUAGGCCAAUAUUCGGUGUUGCUUGUUAUAUCACUGCUCAAUACUCGAUGUUGAGCUCGUGGUGAUUUUGUUGUUGCUGAGAACUUAUGCUCCUGUAAUCAUUGUUGUUGCUAAUUAAAACUUUUUGGUUUUGAUCUAUUUGAAUCUCUCUCUAUCGAUCAUUUUCUUCGUGGUUUCUGAUUAAUAAUUUGGUUGUGUUUUUGUAUUGAUUUUGGUGUUGUUAAGUUAAUACUAAUGGUGGUGGUGGGGGUGGUGGUCUGGUGGUGAUGAUGAGUAUGAUGAUGAUUGUGAGAACUGAGAAGUUGGAUGUUGUUGUUAAACACCUUAAUCGGAAUGGAAUACAGGCAAGGUGUUCGAUUCAAUUCCUUUUUCCUUUUACUGAUUUGUAUUGUGUUUCACUAGUGGACUAGUUUCCCUAUAUCUAACUGAUUGGGACUGUGUAACCAACUAUUUGAUGUUGAGGGCUUAACUAGAGGUGACCUAGAAACAGUUGUUUUGUUUGUUUGGAGCCUAAAUGUUUAGUCCUAUGCACGUCAGGUAAAUGGGUAACUUCACUAUAUUUAUUACGGUCCUUAGUUAAUAACUCUUUUUUCUUUAUUAAAUAUUCGAAGGAUGAACUAACAACACCAUGGAGUUACUUAAUCAGGUCUGUUAGUAAUGGGGAUGAUGGUUCUUCUGAAUGGCUAGGUUUUCAGUGGAGUUGAUACUUCAUAUGGGAAUCCCCAGUGGUUCCAGCAAGGUGGAGGUUCUUUGGUCGAGUGAACUCCGUAUGAGGCAGCACAGCAGUGUAUUGCUGAGAUUAUCGAGAUGGUCCAUGUGGCAAGUCUUCUUCAUGAUGAUGUCUUAGAUGAUGCCGAUACAAGGCGUGGUGUUCGUUCCCUCAAUUUUCUUAAUGUGAAUAAGCAUGGACCAAUAUAUGCAAAAGACAUACCAUAAAACGUCAUUAUUGAUCGCUAAUAGCUGCAAAGCAAUCGCUCCUGGCAGGCCAGGCAACUGAUAUUGCAUUGCACUUUAUUUCCAGUUUCAAUGCUACCCUACAGUUACGGCCUCAGUCUGGAUUCGGUGAGUCAGAAUGGUUAAUCUGUUGGCUAGAAAAUUGAGAGAACACACAGGACUAGGAGCUUUUGGUCUCUUCUGAAGGACUGAUGUUUGCAGCACCUAGAAAUCAAAAUGUAAUGAUAUUUUAACGAAAGCCAUGUUGAGACAUUUAUCAUUGUGCGAAAGAAUGCAGGAACCAGCAGAGAGUUUCGUAAUGUCAGAGAUAACAGAGUUAAUCAAAACUCAUCCAGAGAGGCAAAGCAGGGAUCAGUUCAGUGUUCGACUUCGUCAAACACACAGGUGGCACCUAAUGCUUCUUCUGAGAAGAGGGUUGGCGUUGAUCUUAGGGAUGCGGCCAUGAGGGUUAGCAACAAGGAUGGGGCAAAGCAAAUUGCAACUUUUAAUGGACCCUCUGGCUCUGGCAGACAUGCUCAAGAUGCAUAUUUAAAUGGGACUCGUGGGAAAGAGGAGUUCACUGAGAUUAGAGUGACUGUCCGCUGCCUGGGUUCUCGAGUGCAGGAAAAGCCUUACGAAUUAUUUGGUGUUCAUAGAAACCCUGAAAUGCCUUCUCAAUUAGCCUCUGGUGUCGCUGGUAUUGGGUUUGAGAUUCUGCGCCAGUGAAUAAGCCAGGCUUACAGCUAGGCAAGUGUUGGUAAGAAGAUAAAAAUUUCUGGAGUCUUGGUAUUGUUGGGUGCUUAUGUAGAAUGUGACCUUAAUCAAAUGCAGGACUUACACAUGGCUGUUGUUUUACUUUAUGCUUAAAUAAUCAAAUUUGAUAUAUAAUAUUACAUGUUGAUGUUCUA